GAUGAACGCUGGCGGCGUGCCUAAUACAUGCAAGUCGAGCGAACAGAUGAGAAGCUUGCUUCUCUGAUGUUAGCGGCGGACGGGUGAGUAACACGUGGGUAACCUACCUAUAAGACUGGGAUAACUCCGGGAAACCGGGGCUAAUACCGGAUAAUAUUUUGAACCGCAUGGUUCAAUAGUGAAAGACGGUUUCGGCUGUCACUUAUAGAUGGACCCGCGCCGUAUUAGCUAGUUGGUAAGGUAACGGCUUACCAAGGCGACGAUACGUAGCCGACCUGAGAGGGUGAUCGGCCACACUGGAACUGAGACACGGUCCAGGCUCCUACGGGAGGCAGCAGUGGGGAAUCUUCCGCAAUGGGCGAAAGCCUGACGGAGCAACGCCGCGUGAGUGAUGAAGGUCUUCGGAUCGUAAAACUCUGUUGUUAGGGAAGAACAAAUUUGUUAGUAACUGAACAAGUCUUGACGGUACCUAACCAGAAAGCCACGGCUAACUACGUGCCAGCAGCCGCAGUAA
rnacentral:rRNA from 1 species